rfam:Salmo salar isolate Sally breed double haploid chromosome ssa15, whole genome shotgun sequence.
AAAGCUACAAUUUGUAAGUCGCUCUGGAUAAGAGCGUCUGCUAAAUGACUUAAA